GAUGAAGAACUUAGCGAAAUGCGAUAAGUAAUGCGAAUUGCAGAAUUCCAGUGAGUCAUCGAAUCUUUGAACGCACAUUGCGCCCUUUGGUAUUCCGAAGGGCAUGCCUGUUCGAGCGUCAUUAUCACCCCUCAAGCCCUCGGCUUGGUGUUGGACGGUUUGGUGGAGGCCCCCUCGGGGGCUCCUGCCCCUCCCAAAGACAAUGACGGCGGCCUCGUUGGACCCCCGGUACACUGAGUUCUUCACGGGACACGUAUCGGACACAUGGGUUUACGGGACACGGUCUGCCUCCCCUCAGGGAGAAUCUUUCUAAGGUUGACCUCGGAUCAGGUAGGGAUACCCGCUGAACUUAAGCAUAUCAAUAAGCGGAGGA
rnacentral:misc_RNA from 1 species